UGGGCUACACACGUGCUACAAUGGGCGGUACAAAGGGUCGCGAACCCGCGAGGGGGAGCCAAUCCCAAAAAGCCGCUCUCAGUUCGGAUUGCAGGCUGCAACUCGCCUGCAUGAAGCCGGAAUCGCUAGUAAUCGCGGAUCAGCAUGCCGCGGUGAAUACGUUCCCGGGCCUU
rnacentral:rRNA from 1 species